rnacentral:tRNA from 1 species
UUGGCGCAGUUGGUUAGCGCGUAGGUCUCAUAUUUUGUAUGACUUUUUUAUCCUAAGGUCGAGGGUUCGAACCCCUCUCUCCGCAA